rnacentral:ncRNA from 1 species
CUAUUUGCUAGAAUCAAUACUCGUAUCGGACGGCAAGCAAUCGCCUGCUUGCCAGAUAAGGUGUCCAUAGACACACACCGGAACGGGUUAUUCAGGCCAGAUAAGAUCGCAUUCUUAUCUGGCCUUAUUUUUUU